rnacentral:rRNA from 1 species
AUUGAACGCUGGCGGCAGGCCUAACACAUGCAAGUCGAGCGGGGUUUUCGGACCUAGCGGCGGACGGGUGAGUAAUGCGUAGGAAGCUACCCGAUAGAGGGGGAUACCAGUUGGAAACGACUGUUAAUACCGCAUAAUGUCUACGGACCAAAGUGUGGGACCUUCGGGCCACAUGCUAUCGGAUGCGCCUACGUGGGAUUAGCUAGUUGGUGGGGUAAUGGCUCACCAAGGCGACGAUCCCUAGCUGGUCUGAGAGGAUGAUCAGCCACACUGGAAAUGAGACACGGUCCAGACUCCUACGGGAGGCAGCAGGGGGGAAUAUUGGACAAUGGGCGCAAGCCUGAUCCAACCAUGACGCGUGUGUGAAGAAGGCCUUCGGAUUGUAAAGCACUUUCAGUAGGGAGGAAGGAUGUUGUGUUAAUAGCACAGCAUUUUGACGUUACCUACAGAAGAAGCACCGGCUAACUCUGUGCCAGCCGCCGCAGUAAAAC